rnacentral:lncRNA from 1 species
GUUACCUCUGAACCAGAGAGCAAAUCACACAAAUGUAGCUCCUUUACUCUGCAGGUACGAACUUGAUCGGCUUACUUUGCUCUAUUAUUGUUUUUUCUGGACAAGUAACACACCCAGUCUACUUCCUUUUGAGACUAAUCAACUUCUUUUGAUAAUUCUUGGACAGGUUUGUCAUACGUUUCAAUAUUGGUGGCUUUUGUGCUAUUCUACUUGGGAAACAUGAUCUUUGGGGAACUUUGCUAGUAGUAGACACAGAGUGUGCUUUUAAAUACCUACAGAGCAUCAUAUCAUUUAUAUUUGUUUGAAAUGCUAUGUAUAUCCGUUAUGGCCGCAAAAAUACGCA